GACGAACGCUGGCGGCGUGCUUAACACAUGCAAGUCGAACGGAAAGGCCCUGCUUUUGUGGGGUGCUCGAGUGGCGAACGGGUGAGUAACACGUGAGUAACCUGCCCUUGACUUUGGGAUAACUUCAGGAAACUGGGGCUAAUACCGGAUAGGAGCUCCUGCUGCAUGGUGGGGGUUGGAAAGUUUCGGCGGUUGGGGAUGGACUCGCGGCUUAUCAGCUUGUUGGUGGGGUAGUGGCUAACCAAGGCUUUGACGGGUAGCCGGCCUGAGAGGGUGACCGGCCACAUUGGGACUGAGAUACGGCCCAGACUCCUACGGGAGGCAGCAGUGGGGAAUAUUGCACAAUGGGCGGAAGCCUGAUGCAGCAACGCCGCGUGCGGGAUGACGGCCUUCGGGCUGUAAACCGCUUUCGCCUGUGACGAAGCGUGAGUGACGGUAAUGGGUAAAGAAGCACCGGCUAACUACGUG
rnacentral:rRNA from 1 species